rnacentral:rRNA from 1 species
UAAUAUAUAGUUAACCUGCCCUCAAGAAAGGAAUAACAGUUGGAAACGACUGCUAAUGCCCUAUAUGCCUUUAAUACAUAAGUAUGCAAGGGAAACGCUUUAGUGCUUGAGGAUGGGACUGUAUGGUAUCAGCUUGUUGGUGAGGUAAUGGCUCACCAAGGCUAUGACGCCUAACUGGUUUGAGAGGAUGAUCGGUCACACUGGAACUGAGACACGGUCCAG